rnacentral:rRNA from 1 species
GACGAACGCUGGCGGCGUGCUUAACACAUGCAAGUCGAACGGAAAGGCCCUGCUUUUGUUGGGUGCUCGAUUGGCGAACGUGUGAGUAACACGUGAGUAACCUGCCCUUUACUUUGUUAUAUCUUCUGGAAACUGGGGCUAAUACCGGAUAUGAUCUCCUGCUGCAUGUUGUUGUUUGGAAAGUUUCGGCGGUUGGGGAUUGUCUCGCGGCUUAUCAGCUUGUUUGUGGGGUAGUUGCUUACCAAGGCUUUGACGGGUAGCCGGCCUGAGAGGGUGAACGGAGACAAUGGGACUGAGAGACGGACCAGAAUGCAACGGGAGGCAGAAGUGGGGAAUAUUGCACAAUGGGAGGAAGCCUGAUGCAGAAACGGCGCGUGCGGGAUGACGGCCUUCGGGUUGUAAACAGAUUUCGAAUGUGAAGAAGAGUGAGUGACGGUAAUGGGUAAAGAAGCACCGGCUAACUACGUG